rnacentral:misc_RNA from 1 species
CCAUAUUGGGCAAGCUACUAAUGGUAACUUCAUAUGACCCUAAGUUUCCCUUGUGUCUCAAGCAUUACCAUAUGGUCAAAAACUCAUGUCCCUUAUAUUAUGCUAUUUAUGAUGUCUUAUUUAUCUUAUUUAUGGUUUGGUAGAUCAUUGUAUCUUCUAAAAUUAUUACCUGAAAAUCUACAAAAUUUUCUUGUGUGGUGCAUAUGCUAGGCAAAGUUGCUUGCUGUUUCAGUUUUCAUCGUGCCACUAUUUUUGGCCACCUUGUCGUACCAAUACCAUCCAUCCAUAAUUGUAUUUGGUAUCAUCUGCAUUGGACUUGCUGAGCUGUUGAUAUUUGUUGUAAAUUUGUUCAACGAUUCACAAUGUUCCCUUUGGGUUGUUGAAGCAUUUCCUUAUCAUCCUUCUCUCACACAAUCAUUUUGUAAUUGAACCUCCUUAUGACUUGUUUCCGCCCUAGUUUCUGUUUUGCUAACAUUUUAGUAUUUAAAAUUUGCAUAUCAAUAAACAAAAUAUCUAGGCAUUCCAUUCCAUUUAUAGAGUUCCAUGUAUAGAGUUCCAUUUUUCUAUGGCAAUCUUUCAUUUUAUUGCUGUUAAUCCCAAGCAGUUGAGAUGGAAAACUUGUGAUGUAGUGAAACCCUAGAUAUCCUUUAUAUUAUGAUGGGUUAAUAUAGAUAACAGGUUAGGGUUUGAUAUGAAUGAAUUUGAAAUCAUUUAAGGGUUUUUUGUUUGUAUGAUUUGGAUUGCUAUUGGUGGCUGAAUUGUAAGUUGAAUGACUGGUUUCAAUUCUGGCCUGCAGUGACGGUUGCUAACUCGUGUGUGGUUGAGAAAGAAGGAAAAAUAAAACAGCCAAAAUUAUAAAUAAUGAAUAUUGGAAUCAUUUUAUGUACUCCAAAACUGUAAAAAAUAGUCCUAGUCCUAGAAAAUGAUUGAUCAUGAUCAAUGGUUUAAAAUC